CCCCUCUCAGGAUGGCACCUGGAGAGUUUCCAGUACUCUACUAGUCUUGGCUAUGGGAAGGAGAGUCAAGUAAAGGCAUAUCCAUUCCAUUCCUAGCUUGGGGAGUGGCUAGUGAAUGGAAGGCAAUUUGCUACAAGU
rnacentral:snoRNA from 1 species